GACGAACGCUGGCGGCGUGCUUAACACAUGCAAGUCGAACGGAAAGGCCCUGCUUGCAGGGUACUCGAGUGGCGAACGGGUGAGUAACACGUGGGUGAUCUGCCCUGCACUUCGGGAUAAGCCUGGGAAACUGGGUCUAAUACCGGAUAGGAGCCAUUUUUAGUGUGAUGGUUGGAAAGUUUUUUCGGUGUAGGAUGAGCUCGCGGCCUAUCAGCUUGUUGGUGGGGUAAUGGCCUACCAAGGCGGCGACGGGUAGCCGGCCUGAGAGGGUGGACGGCCACAUUGGGACUGAGAUACGGCCCAGACUCCUACGGGAGGCAGCAGUGGGGAAUAUUGCACAAUGGGCGCAAGCCUGAUGCAGCGACGCCGGGUGGGGGAUGACGGCCUUCGGGUUGUAAACUCCUUUCGCUAGGGACGAAGCUUUUUGUGACGGUACCUAGAUAAGAAGCACCGGCUAACUACGUG
rnacentral:rRNA from 1 species